UACGUAGGGUGCGAGCGUUGUCCGGAAUUACUGGGCGUAAAGAGCGCGCAGGCGGUCGUUCAAGUCGCGUGUGAAAGCCCCCCGGCUCAACUGGGGAGGGUCACGCGAUACUGAUCGACUCGAAGGCAGGAGAGGGUAGUGGAAUUCCCGGUGUAGUGGUGAAAUGCAUAGAUAUCGGGAGGAACACCAGUGGCGAAGGCGGGUCUCUGGGCCGAUACUGACGCUGAGGAGCGAAAGCGUGGGGAGCGAACGAGG
rnacentral:rRNA from 1 species